UACGUAGGGUGCAAGCGUUGUCCGGAAUUAUUGGGCGUAAAGAGCUCGUAGGCGGUUUGUCGCGUCUGCUGUGAAAACUCGGGGCUUAACCCCCGGGCCUGCAGUGGGUACGGGCAGACUAGAGUGCGGUAGGGGAGACUGGAAUUCCUGGUGUAGCGGUGAAAUGCGCAGAUAUCAGGAGGAACACCGGUGGCGAAGGCGGGUCUCUGGGCCGAUACUGACGCUGAGGAGCGAAAGCGUGGGGGAGCGAACUGG
rnacentral:rRNA from 1 species